rfam:Dichomitus squalens LYAD-421 SS1 unplaced genomic scaffold DICSQscaffold_5, whole genome shotgun sequence.
GGCCGCCUGGCGUAAUGGCAACGCGUCUGACUACGAUUGGGCAAUCAGGAGAUUGCAGGUUCGACCCCUGCGGUGGUCA